GACGAACGCAGGCGGCGUGCUUAACACGUGCAAGUCGAACGAUGAAGCUGGAGCUUGCUCCGGUGGAUUAGUGGCGAACGGGUGAGUAACACGUGAGCAAUCUGCCCUUGACUCUGGGAUAACUGCGGGAAACCGUAGCUAAUACCGGAUACGAGACCUGAAGGCAUCUUCGGGUCUGGAAAGAAUUUCGGUCAAGGAUGAGCUCGCGGCCUAUCAGCUUGUUGGUGGGGUGAUGGCCUACCAAGGCGACGACGGGUAGCCGGCCUGAGAGGGUGACCGGCCACACUGGGACUGAGAUACGGCCCAGACUCCUACGGGAGGCAGCAGUGGGGAAUAUUGCACAAUGGGCGCAAGCCUGAUGCAGCGACGCCGCGUGAGGGAUGACGGCCUUCGGGUUGUAAACCUCUUUCAGCAGGGAAGAAGCGAAAGUGACGGUACCUGCAGAAGAAGCACCGGCUAACUACGUGCCAGCAGCCGCCGUAA
rnacentral:rRNA from 1 species